UCUUUAACCCACUGAGCAAGGCCAGGGAUUGAACCUAUGUCCUCAUGGAUCCUAUUCAGGCUCAUUACCACUGAGCCACAACAGAAAUUCCUAUUUGGGGAUUUUUUUAAGUGUCUUGCAUAUUAAACUUGUGCAAAUAUUCACCCAAUUUUAAAAUGACAUAUCCUUCAAGUUUCUCUGGAGAGGCCUUUCUUGAGCUGCUUCUGCCCUUUUCUCGAUCCCUGGUUGCAACUUGCAUUACCUUCAACUGUGUUUACUAAGCACAGUUUGUCUGUAAAUGGUAUAAAAAUCAAAUGAAAUACUGUAGGUACAAAUAUGCUUUUAAAAUGUGAAGUACCAAACAGGUGAUUCUAUUGUCUGAAUACUUAUAGCCCUUGAUGCAGCCUGACUCACAUUAGGUUCCAAAAUAUAUGCUAGCCUCUCCCAGCUGAUUAGUGGUUGUUCACAGGGAGUAAUCACAUCUUUGUCCCCUUUCCAGUGUCUGACAUAAGAAAGAUGCUUCAAUAAUUGUAGCAGAAAUGACUUAAUACUUUGAUCAAUGAGGCCCGUCAUUUUAUGAUGGUCCUAUCACAGAUAAUGAAUAUUAUUGGGACAGAAGUAGGUCACUUUACUAUCACUAUUGUGCACAGGAAGUACAAGAGGCCAGAGCAACUUGCAGAAAACCUGAAAUCACACAUGUAGAGUAGGGGCUUUGUGCUGUGGGAAAGACAGCUUUACAGAGGAAAGAAUAUCCUAUUAUCAGUGCAACAUUCAGAGCCAAGCAAACAACACUCUGUGAUUAUUCUUCUCUUUUUAUAGAUAUGCUCAACAGUCAUAUGGUGGGAAGUCUGGAUGAAGAAUAUACAAACUUCUGUAGAAACACAUUUUGAUUGGCCCAGCUCUUCGAAUCACACAAAGGAAUGCUAGGAGUGUUAUUCCCAAGAGGAUGCUUAUUUGAUGCUGGCUGUGUCUUGGAGCACCUCUGACAGUGUGUACAGAUCUUCAUGGCAUCGCAGAGCUUGGUGGUGUUGGGACAGAGGGUGCGCUGCAUUUUGUGCAGGGCGUGGGCCAUGGCAUACACUGCAUUCACCAC